rnacentral:pre_miRNA from 1 species
UUUUUAGUCUAAGUAUGUCCCGUGCAAUAUUUGGGAUCAUACUUAGACUAAAA